UCAUUGAACCAUAAGGAACCAUAUCUGAGCCUGUGGAGAGGUCUGAACACCACUCAGAGAUCACAGGAGCAGCAACUUGAUGGAUGCUGGUUUGUUCCCCAUGGAGAAGGGCUGAGUGUGUCCUAUCCACGGGGAAGGAGAACACCCAGGCAUGAAGCUAGACCACUCCCAGGCCACCCUUCUCCUUCCAUUUGGGUUUAUCCAGUGACACGUUUUUUUCCAGUAAAAUGCAAGUACAAGUAAUAUUUGCCACGUUGGACCCAGGCCCAAGAUCAUGGGCACAGCUCCACAAUCUCUUCUCCCUCCUGCCAGAAGCAACUUGGAUAUGAGAGUAACCUGGCUUCUACCAAGGAGAUGUUGACAUGGCCUUAGGCGAUGAUGGAGACACAACUUGGGUCCCUGAACCACUGAGUGCAGCAGAGCUUUUUGCCAUUCUGAACUGUUACAGGAGAGAAAAAUAAAGUCGUUUCUCCUCUCAGG